GCUCCCCCAGACGCCAGAGUGUGGGGUGGCCCUGGGGAGGCAACUGCCUUUGGCAACUUCUCCUAGCUCAGGGAGGAAAUAGUGGAGAGCACAGGCAGCCGGAGGCUUAAGCUGGCUGCUCCCACCUCCGCCUCUCCACGCUUCCUGCUUCCACCAUGAAGCCGCUGGGUUCAAAGAAGAAAAUUCGCCACAAGCACAGAAUUCUUUCAAGUCCCAGUUUUUAAAUUCAUGUGCACGCUGCCUUCUGCUCGGUAAAUCCAAAGGGAUGCAGACCAGAGCUAAUGCAGAGACCCCAUGGUGUCCACAAGAAACUGAGCUUCUUUCUUUUUUCUCUACUUUUGUCAGUAUUUGGCUUUUAUCUUCUUGGACCCAAUAUAUACU
rnacentral:lncRNA from 1 species